ACACCCCUUGUAUAUCGGUAAAUGUGAUAAAUGAGUUAACCUACACCCCUUGUAUAUCAGUAAAUGUGAUAAAUGAGACAACCUACACCCCUUGUAUAUCAGUAAAUGUGAUAAAUGAGGUAACCUACACCCCUUGUAUAUCAGUAAAUGUGAUAAAUGAGGUAACCUACACCCCUUGUAUAUCAGUAAAUGUGAUAAAUGAGGUAACCUACACCCCUUGUAUAUCAGUAAAUGUGAUAAAUGAGACAACCUACACCCCUUGUAUAUCAGUAAAUGUGAUAAAUGAGACAACCUACACCCCUUGUAUAUCAGUAAAUGUGAUAAAUGAGACAACCUACACCCCUUGUAUAUCAGUAAAUGUGAUAAAUGAGGUAACCUACACCCCUUGUAUAUCAGUAAAUGUGAUAA